CAACCGACUGUAUGUUCUUAUCACUAUUAUUACGAACCAAAUAAAAUUCCUUCCUAUUUCUUAUUGAAAAACUACUACAUAACAGAACUAACAAUUUGAUCUCCUUUUGUUUUCUGUUUGAAUUGUACUGCCAAUUUAAUUUGAUAUUUGUCCAGUUUCGUUAUAUAUAAUUUUUGGAUGAGAUGAGAUUGUUAAGUUGCAAUUAUUUAAAUAGAUCGAUUAUGAUAAUUAUUUUGGUUAAUUGUGACAGGCUUGAUGCUUUUUAGAUCAGUUAAUCAAGGAAAAUUCUCUUGAAUCCUCAUCAAGCCGUCAAGGUAUGUGACUUUAACCUACUUUCAAAAUCUAUUUUCUAUUAUCAUAAUAUAAUCUUUCUGGAAUGAGUUGUAUUCGUCCAUUUUCAUUAUUGCAGAGUCCUUUUCAUAUAAAAUUGUUAAGUUUCAGUUAUUCAAAGAGAUCGAUUAAAAUCAUUAUUUAUAAUCAGUUGUGAUAGGUUCAAUAUUUUUUACAUCAAUUGCUCAAGGCAAAUUCAAGCCAUCAACUUCCAGGAUUUUUUUUUUAAUAUAUAUUUUAAUCUUUCUGGAAAGAGUAAUACUAUUCUUUAAUAAUUUUUUUUAAUGGUGGACUCUAUAUAUAUAGAUAUGUUUUUGGUAAAUUGUAUAUUUAUGCAAUGCAUUUGCGGAAGAUAAAUAUUAGAAAGUAAAUUUUCCUAUGUUUUCAAUGUAACAUAACAACUCAUCUACAUUAUUUACACGGUUAGAAGUCUUAUUGAAUGUCAUCGUUGAAGAAAAUCGUAUAGCAUGAAAAGUAUGUCGACCAAAUAUCAAGAGGAAGGCAAAAUUGGUACCAAUAAAUUCCAAGAAGAAAGUAAGCAGCUUCCAGUAAUGUUUGAUUUUACAUUCAGCAAGAUCCGUAUUGAAGAACAACACAGCUAUGGAGGGUACGACUAUAUGUCACACGAAAACAUACGGACAAUACACAAAUUAAUAUGAGAAAGGCACUACCUAUGCAAAUAUUUUGUUUUUCACCUCAAGGUAGACAAGCUGAGGGUAAAAAAAAAUCCUGACCACGCACUAUAGAUUCUCAAUUUUUGUUCCAUAUGAUAUAUAAAUAUUGAUUUAUGUACUA